GGCAAGAAACCCCAUGAAUGAUGAGGAAUUCUAUACUAUCAUACUUGCACUAUGUCAUCAAAUAACAAGUCAAUAACAUUUCUAUUUUUUAAACAAAAGUACAAUAAAAAUAUUUUUUUUACAAUCAUGAUGGGACAUAUACUCCUAAAAGGAGAUAUUUGAUUGGUUUGCUUCAUCAUGUCACCAAUAUACCGGUUGCAUUUUAGAAUUUUUUCUGAAUGAUUAAUAGAGCAUUCUUACUGGUACCCUAAAAUGUACCCCCAAGUCUCUCAUGAAUUAAGAUUAUACAAGUCUUUGCCAUCAGAGUGAAUGACAAAUAUAUUCUUAUAAAGUUUAAUUUUUAUAUAUUAUCCCUGCAGAAAGCUCUGGUGUCUGCAAAUAUGUCAUUCUGAUUUGUCACCGUUAGAGAAUCAUUAAAGAAUUAUUUAUUUUUUUAAUUUUACCAUCACAACUACGUCCUUCCAAAAAUCAUAACAACGUAAUAUAAGAGGGAUAAAAAUGUCAAAAACUAACAUGGUUAAGUAUUUAACCUAUAAUUAACUAAAUUUUUCUAGCGAAUUCUAACGAUAGGAUAUAUUUGAAAACAUCCGAAUUUUUGCAAGGACAGAAUAUGAAGUUGAACUUUGUGGGGAUAUAUUUGUCAUUCACUAUAUUUGCAGAGACAUAUAUGAAAUUAAUCCAAAAUUAUAUAAAAACGUACAGAACGAAUAUGAAUUAUGAACUAUUUUGAAUCAGUUAUUCAAUCUUUUAAAAUUUUAAUUUUACUAUCUAACAUUUUAAUUUGUUUGAUCCGAAUCAAUCAAUAAUUUUUUGAUUUUAAAAUUUAAGCUAAUUAUUUAUUUUAAUAAAUUUAUAAUUGUAAGCGAGAAUUAUAUGAAGCAUAAUAAUUAAAUCUGUAAAAAUAAACAAUAUAUUCAAAUUUUGAAGUCAAACAAAUUGAAAGAUGAGAAAGUAAGAUCAAAAUUUAAAAGGUUGAAUAGCGAUACCAAAAUAGUUCAUAGUU
rnacentral:lncRNA from 1 species